AGUGAACGCUGGCGGUAGGCCUAACACAUGCAAGUCGAACGGCAGCACAGGAGAGCUUGCUCUCUGGGUGGCGAGUGGCGGACGGGUGAGGAAUACAUCGGAAUCUACUCUGUCGUGGGGGAUAACGUAGGGAAACUUACGCUAAUACCGCAUACGACCUACGGGUGAAAGCAGGGGACCUUCGGGCCUUGCGCGAUUGAAUGAGCCGAUGUCGGAUUAGCUAGUUGGCGGGGUAAAGGCCCACCAAGGCGACGAUCCGUAGCUGGUCUGAGAGGAUGAUCAGCCACACUGGAACUGAGACACGGUCCAGACUCCUACGGGAGGCAGCAGUGGGGAAUAUUGGACAAUGGGCGCAAGCCUGAUCCAGCUAUACCGCGUGGGUGAAGAAGGCCUUCGGGUUGUAAAGCCCUUUUGUUGGGAAAGAAGUCCAGCUGGCUAAUACCCGGUUGGGAUGACGGUACCCAAAGAAUAAGCACCGGCUAACUUCGUGCCAGCAGCCGCGGUAA
rnacentral:rRNA from 1 species